CCUACGGGAGGCAGCAGUGAGGAAUAUUGGUCAAUGGACGAGAGUCUGAACCAGCCAAGUAGCGUGAAGGAUGACUGCCCUAUGGGUGGUAAACUUCUUUUAUAUGGGAAUAAAAUGUUCCACGUGUGGGAUUUUGUAUGUACCAUAUGAAUAAGGAUCGGCUAACUCCGUGCCAGCAGCCGCGGUAAUACGGAGGAUCCGAGCGUUAUCCGGAUUUAUUGGGAUUAAAGGGAGCGUAGGUGGAUUGUUAAGUCAGUUGUGAAAGUUUGCGGCUCAACCGUAAAAUUGCAGUUGAAACUGGCAGUCUUGAGUACAGUAGAGGUGGGCGGAAUUCGUGGUGUAGCGGUGAAAUGCUUAGAUAUCACGAAGAACUCCGAUUGCGAAGGCAGCUCACUGGACUGCAACUGACACUGAGGCUCGAAAGUGUGGGUAUCAAACAGGAUUAGAUACCCUGGUAGUC
rnacentral:rRNA from 1 species